rnacentral:lncRNA from 1 species
AGUUAUGUAAUGGAAUUGAAUGAAGCAAGUGUCAGAUCUACAUCUCUACAAACACUCACUUUAUCAGUUCAGAGAAUAAAGAGAUGAAUUUAAUAAUGCCACUGGACACUUAUACUCUAUCGGAUCCUAAUAAUUUCUCACACUAAUGAAUUCUUCUAUCAACUUCAUGUUAAUCAAGAGGAGACAGAGCCAAGAAGUGAGUAAUUGCUUACUGAAUUGUGAAAGCUGGGAUGAUUUAACUACAGUUUUUGGCUCUUACAAAUAAAGGCUCUAUAAACAUACAUUUACAAGUCUUUGAAUGGACAUAUGCUUCCAUUUCUUUUGUUUAAAUACUAGUCAAAUGGUUGAGUCAUAUGGCAGAUGAAGAUUUAAUAUGGUUGUACAAUUUCACACUCUGAUUUACUGUGUAUAAGAAUUCCAUCUGUUCUACAUUCAUGACCUCUACUUGAUAUGCCUCCCUAGAAUGUGACAGUCCACAGAAAUAUCUGAUUUCAAAGAGAUGCUUGCAUUCUGUACUGAUGCCAUCUAGAAUUGUAAAUGACCAGUGUCACACUGCUAAGUGGAGAAAGCGUGAAAGAAGAAUCCCAUCAGUACAUUCACGAUAGAGGAAAUAAGAAACAAUGAAAGCCACAAGUAAGUCCUGAGUUGAUCAACAGUAUUGCACUUCUCCAGGUUUACUCGAAGGCAGCAAAAUUGGCCCUACUCCCAACCCUGCAACAUGCACCAUUUCCAUAAACAAUCUACAGAGAUGGCUGAGAAAAAGAAAAAGGGGUACUCUCCUUUACCCCUUCUCCAAAGCCCGAUGAAGUAAAGAGUAGAAAUCAAGAGUGUCUACAAGAAUUGGGGAUUGGCAUUGAUUCUCCACUGUGUGAUUACUCAUGCUUUAUGGCAAUGUGCCUAUUUAAAGGGCAGGUAAUGACUUAGCAA